UUUAUCGGGAAAAGUAUACCAUGUUUAAACACGUAAAGCGCGUUACUUAAAUACCUCAGUUAUUAAGCCUAUUGAGCCUCUGGAGGCGAUAUCAAACCAGGGCACCAAAACUACAAGAGCUGCAGACGCCAUAAGAUUUAUUUCCACUAGCUCUCCGGGUGACGAUCAGGGUCUGUUCAGCCGUGCUUGUGAUACGAUAAAAGUUUCGUUUAGAACGACGAGAAUAUUUUCUUCAUAUCUUUUUUUCCCUCCUCUCUCGAGACUUGUUAACUUAAUCAUGUAUUUAUUAGACGAUAAUAACUUAUUUUCGUAAAUUGCUUAAUGUUUCCUGCACGUGUGGAUAAUCUGCCCAGUCGAUUUGAGUAUUUCGGACAAGGUAUAUGUGGAUGACCAAAGCCGGACAACUGGGGACUACUAUCUCUAUGUGCCGUUUCGGGUUUUCCGUUUUCUCGACGGAUCCCGUGUCUCGUUUUCGUGCAAUGUCAUCAUCUGUCAGGACAACUGUCCGUCGGCUGACUGUGGUGAGUUUAUGGGAAUGUCCUACGGCAGGAAGAAAAGAGACAUUACUGACAAUUCACGAUACCAAGUUAUGUCUGUUUCCCGUGACGUCACAGUUUUAGAUGAUGUCACCAGUCGCACCGUUCAUGCUAAGACUACUUCGAUAGAGAAAUUAGAAGAUUCCAAAACCGAAACAGCCGCGCUUUCUGUACAUUUUACAUGGCUUCUAGGUGGAGCUACCAUCGCCACUACCCUUUUCUUCUCUCUCGCAUUAAAUGUUUAUUUUAUCUUCAUUGCGAAACGGAACUCAUCAGUGUCUGAGAAAACAAAUGAACACGGAAAAACAGAUUGUUGUUCAUCUCUGAAGACGCGCAAAACGGAAAUUAAUUACCCCCCGCGACGUACACAAAGGCCCUUGUUUGACUAAACCUAAAUUAUUUCGAAUGAUGUUAUUUCUAUUAAAAGGGAAAAAAUAUGUUUUGGGGAAAUUGUGGGGUAAGUAAGGGUAACUUCAUAUAUUUUAUCUAAUGGGUGAUGCGGCAUCCUUCAACUUUUGGUUUGUGCUUAUAUUUUGUUGUUGUUGUUCGUGGUAUUUUACUUUAUAUCUUCAUUCUUUACGUAAACGUCAUCGUUUUAGGCUUAACCAAUUUUUUACUUAACGAACGAGUUUAAGACUAAAUAAAAGGAAAUAAAAAACAGGUCACGACCGUGAUAAAGUACUUUUUACAUCUGUUAGUAUAUGUUAAGUAAUACUAAGUGCUUCAUUUCAAAGUUAUUUAAUUCUUUGUUGUUGUUGUUGUUUGCUCAUUGUUUAAAAUAUGUUCCUAAUUACUAAUAAAGCUUGCUUUC